rnacentral:snRNA from 1 species
GUUUGUCUCUGUCAUUAAAGAUUU